GGCGGACGGGUGAGUAACGCGUGGGCAACCUGCCUCAUACUGGGGGAUAGCAGUUGGAAACGACUGAUAAUACCGCAUAAGCGCACAGCAUCGCAUGAUGCAGUGUGAAAAACUCCGGUGGUAUGAGAUGGGCCCGCGUCAGAUUAGCUAGUUGGUAAGGUAACGGCUUACCAAGGCGACGAUCUGUAGCCGGACUGAGAGGUCGGACGGCCACAUUGGGACUGAGACACGGCCCAAACUCCUACGGGAGGCAGCAGUGGGGGAUAUUGCACAAUGGAGGAAACUCUGAUGCAGCGACGCCGCGUGAGUGAAGAAGUAUUUCGGUAUGUAAAGCUCUAUCAGCAGGGAAGAAAGGCCCGCAAGGGAGAUGACGGUACCUGACUAAGAAGCCCCGGCUAACUACGUGCCAGCAGCCGCGGUAAUACGUGGGGGGCAAGCGUUAUCCGGAUUUACUGGGUGUAAAGGGAGCGCAGACGGCUGUGUAAGUCUGAAGUGAAACCCCACGGCUCAACCGUGGGCUUGCUUUGGAAACUAUAUAGCUAGAGUACUGGAGAGGUAAGCGGAAUUCCUAGUGUAGCGGUGAAAUGCGUAGAUAUUAGGAGGAACAUCGGUGGCGAA
rnacentral:rRNA from 1 species